AUGGCCGGCGGCAAGGCGGCCGGUAGCAAGGCGCCGGCUGAUGCGGCCAAGGCGGGCGGCUCCGGGUCGAAGACGCCGCCACGGUCGCGGUCCCCGUCACGGUCGCCCCUGAGGUGCGGUCGGAGCCGCACGGUGCGCGGGCGCGAGCUCGCGGCGCCUGUGGUGCAGAAGGUGAUCCGGGAGUCCGGAUUGACAAGUUGGCCGAUGCUCAUGAAGACGAACUACAACGACUGGUCUCUGCUCAUGAAAGUGAAGCUGGAGGCGCGUGGCUACUGGAAUGCCAUCAAGCACGACGACGUCGACUUCCACAAGGACCGCAUGGCGAUGGAGGCCAUACUUGGAGCAGUGCCGCCCGAGAUGGUGGGGACACUGGCCGUCAAGCCGACGGCGAAGGCGGCGUGGGAUGCGAUCGCCACCAUGCGCAUCGGCGGUGACCGGGUGCGCGCGGCCAAGGCGCAGUCUCUAGCGCAGGAGUUCGAGACCAUCGAAUUCCGUGACGGCGAGUUCGUGGACGAUUUCGCGAUGCGGCUCGGGUCCAUGAUCACGAGCCUGGACGUCCUGGGCGACAAGGUCACCGAGGAGAAGGCGGUGCACAAGUUCCUUCGUGUGGUGCCGCAGCGCUACGCACAAAUUGCUAUGUCCAUUGAGACGCUUGUUGAUCUCUCUACUUUGACCGCGACACAUGCUGCACCGAGCACUUUCACCGUGGAGUACACGGUCACCGCGCCCUCCGACGACGACCCCGCAAGCGAGGCAGGGAGCGGUAGCGCGACACCAGAAGAGCCGUGUAUGCCGUCCCCUGGUACACCGGCUGCACCAAACGAGCCGGCGUUCGUCGCGCCUCCCACCGGCGAGUCUUAUGACUUCGAGGGGUUGCCGCUCCGCUACCGCACUUACAGAGAGCGUGAGAGUCCAUCUUCAGUGAGAGAGAGAUCGCCGGCGAUGACAUGUAGGCGGUGGCGGAGCAUCACCACUGAUUCUAGGUUCCUCGGCCGCUUCCGCGCGCACCACCGCAAGCCGCCGCCCCUCGGCGCCUUCGAGUACAUCCAGGGCGACCUCGUCUUCACCUCCUUGCUCGACCGUCCCGACCGCAUCCCUCCCGGGCGCUUCGACCUGGGACGCUACAGCGACCACCGCGACUACGGCGUGCUCGGCUUCCGCCACGGCCGCGUCCUCGUCUUAGACCAUGUGCGCAAGGACCCGUCAUGUGCGCCCCCGUCACCGGCGAGCAGCGCCGCGUGGCUGUUCCACCCGAGUUCAAGAUGGGCUCCCUCAACGGGGCCGUGCUCUACGCUGCCGGCGACCCUGGCCACGUGCACGGUGAAUGCCACUCCAGCCCCUUCAAGGUGGUCUUGGAACGUCGAUGCUCAUGGUGUUGCCACAUGGGCGCCGUGGAAGACCGUAGAUUUGCGUAACAUUCUCGGGCCCCGUCCUCAGAUUGGGAGAACCAGAAGGAUGGCGCGAUUGACACGAGGCUGGGACUAUGUCAAGGGGACGGGAGGUAUAAUGUGCUAUGUUGAGGAUACUGAUGUCAUUUUUAUACAUAUGGACGUCAAUGUCUACAUGAUUCAGCUUAAUUCAAUGCAAUCCAAGAGUAUUCCUGGAAAGCGUUUUAGAAGUGCCUACCAUCCAUUCAUGAGUUUCUAUACACCAGAUCGGGAUCCAAAUCUCUCUCGUACUCCCGAUGGAUGUGCUGCUCCUUCUCUCUCUCGUUCUGCCGGCGGAUGCCCGGGCUUGCUCGCUGGCCUCGCGGGCCUCGGACGCCACCAAGAACGCCUCGCCGAGCAGCAGCAGCUCCACCGUGCCUCCUCUGCGCCGGCCAAGCCACGAGCAGCAGCAGCUCCACCUGCUACUGUUGACGCCAUGCUCGACCUGCCCAAGCCCGACGAUGACACCGCCCUACGCCCGCGCACACCGGUCGCCGCCGCCUUGCCGAGAGGGCUCGCCCUCGUGUGCGCCGACCUGCUGCACCGCACCUCGCCGAGAGGCUCGUCCUCGCGUGCGCUCCUCCUACCGGUCGCGGGAACUGCUAGACCUGCCACGGCGGCAUCCUGCGCUCCUCCUACGGCGAGUCCCCCCACUGGCCUCCUCCUACCGGCUGCAGGGCUGCCAGACCACGGCGGCGUCCGCCCCCUCCCCCCGCGAAGCGCAGACCUGCUCGUCGCCGGUGACCUGUUCGCCUUCGUAGCAGGCGUCGCGGCGCACGGGCGUACGUAG
rnacentral:rRNA from 1 species